rnacentral:rRNA from 1 species
GACGAACCGUGCGAACGUUGUUCGGAAUCACUGGGCUUAAAGGGCGCGUAGGCGGGCAAGCAAGUCAGGGGUGAAAUCCCACGGCUCAACCGUGGAAGUGCCUUUGAUACUGCCUGUCUUGAGGGAGGUAGGGGCGUGCGGAACUUCCGGUGGAGCGGUGAAAUGCGUAGAUAUCGGAAGGAACACCGGUGGCGAAAGCGGCGCGCUGGGCCUCUACUGACGCUGAGGCGCGAAAGCCAGGGGAGCAAACGGG